CAACAUUGGUUUCAUCCAGGCAGGUUUUGGUGAUGUCAUUACGGAUGGUGUCCGCUUGGCAGGGGUCAGUGACACAGCGUGGGCAGCACUCAUUCUCAGGGAGGACACUGAACUCACAGUCUACCUCUGGGCACGGUAAGGGCCAACAGUCAACCUCUCCUUGCAAGCAGCGACACUGCUGACAGUUUUGUAUCCAGGAGUCACCACUGUUGUAGGAAAGCUCCCCACUCUGAUGUAAACAUUGACUGCUGAGCCUUGGGUCACACUCAGGACAGCAAAAGAGGUCAACAGUGGGAUUUUCACAGUCACAGACCAUUCGCCGGCACAUCACGUAUCCACUCUGGCAUGAGCAGACAGAGCAUCUGUCGUUCUCCAGCACCCAAAUCUGACCAUUGUGCUUGAUUUUGUCUUCAUGGAUACAGUCUCCUGUGCAAUUCUUGCCAUGUGGACAUCGACAGUCAUACCCACCAUCCAGGUUAAAGCAAACAGUGUCAUUGGCACAGCUAUGCCUUCCAGUUGCACAUUCAUCAAUGUCUUCACAGGAUUCUCCACUUGGUGAAAACAUCCCAUUGUCAUGGUAGCCAUCCCUGCAUUCACAGUGGUACCACCCUGGCAGAUUGAUGCAAUUAGCACGGCUG
rnacentral:lncRNA from 1 species